CAUGUCUUUUUGAUUAUAAUUUAAAGUCUGGCCUGCUCAAUGAUUAUUUUUAAAUUGCUGCAGUAUUUUGACUGUGCAAAGGUAGCAUAAUAAUUAGUUUUUUUAUUGAAAGCUGGAAUGAAUGGUUGGACAAGAAAAUUCUGUCUCUUUUCAAUUUGUUUUUGAAUUUAAUUUUUAAGUUAAAAUGCUUAAAUUUUUUUAAAAGACGAGAAGACCCUAUAGAUUUUAAUUUUUUUUUAUAUUUUUAUUGUUUAGAAUUAAAAGUUUAAAUUUAAGAAAGAAUUUAGUUGGGGUGAUUGGAAGAUUAAUUUAACUCUUUUUUUAUAAUCAUUGAUUUGUGAAUUGGAAUUCUAUAUUAAUAAGUAUAAAAUAAAUUACCUUAGGGAUAACAGCGUUAUUUUUCUUUAAAGUUCUUAUUAAAAGAAAAGUUUGCGACCUCGAUGUUGGAUUAAAAUUUAUUUUAGGUGUAGAAGCUUAAAAAUUAAGUCUGUUCGACUUUUAAAAUUUUACAUGAUCUGAGU
rnacentral:rRNA from 1 species